rnacentral:rRNA from 1 species
AUUGAACGCUGGCGGCAGGCUUAACACAUGCAAGUCGAGCGGAGCGAGGGUGCUUGCACCUUAACUUAGCGGCGGACGGGUGAGUAAUGCUUAGGAAUCUGCCUAUUAGUGGGGGACAACAUUCCGAGAGGGAUGCUAAUACCGCAUACGCCCUACGGGGGAAAGCAGGGGAUCUUCGGACCUUGCGCUAAUAGAGGAGCCUAAGUCGGAUUAGCUAGUUGGGGGGGUAAAGGCCUACCAAGGCGACGAUCUGUAGCGGGUCUGAGAGGAUGAUCCGCCACACUGGGACUGAGACACGGCCCAGACUCCUACGGGAGGCAGCAGUGGGGAAUAUUGGACAAUGGGGGGAACCCUGAUCCAGCCAUGCCGCGUGUGUGAAGAAGGCCUUUUGGUUGUAAAGCACUUUAAGCGAGGAGGAGGCGCUCUAGGUUAAUACCCUAGAUGCGUGGACAUUACUCGCAGAAUAAGCACCGGCUAACUCUGUGCCAGCCGCCGCGGUAAUAC